rnacentral:rRNA from 1 species
GAUGAACGCUAGCGGCAGGCUUAACACAUGCAAGUCGAGGGGUAGAAGGAGCUUGCUCCUUUGAGACCGGCGCACGGGUGCGUAACGCGUAUGCAAUCUACCUUUUGCAGAGGAAUAGCCCAGGGAAAUUUGGAUUAAUACCUCAUAGUAUGUGAGGAUGGCAUCAUUUUCACAUUAAAGUCACAACGGCAAAAGAUGAGCAUGCGUCCCAUUAGCUAGUUGGUAAGGUAACGGCUUACCAAGGCUACGAUGGGUAGGGGUCCUGAGAGGGAGAUCCCCCACACUGGUACUGAGACACGGACCAGACUCCUACGGGGAGGCAGCAGUGAGGAAUAUUGGACAAUGGGCGCAAGCCUGAUCCAGCCAUGCCGCGUGCAGGAUGACGGUCCUAUGGAUUGUAAACUGCUUUUGUACAGGAAGAACACUACUUCGUGAAGUAGCUUGACGGUACUGUAAGAAUAAGGAUCGGCUAACUCCGUGCCAG